rnacentral:rRNA from 1 species
GACGAACGCUGGCGGCGUGCUUAACACAUGCAAGUCGAACGGAAAGGCCCUGCUUUUGUGGGGUGCUUGAGUGGCGAACGGGUGAGUAACACGUGAGUAAACUGCCCUUGACUUUGGGAUAACUUCAGGAAACUGGGGCUCAUAUCGGAUAGGAGCUCCUGCUGCAUGGUGGGGGUUGGAAAGUUUCGGCGGUUGGGGAUGGACUCGCGGCUUAUCAGCUUGUUGGUGGGGUAGUGGCUUACCAAGGCUUUGACGGGUAGCCGGCCUGGGAGGGUGACCGGCCACAUUGGGACUGAGAGACGGCCCAGACUCCUACGGGAGGCAGCAGUGGAGAAUAUUGCACAAUGGGCGGAAGCCUGAUGCAGCAACGCCGCGUGCGGGAUGACGGCCUUCGGGUUGUAAACCGCUUUCGCCUGUGACGAAGCGUGAGUGACGGUAAUGGGUAAAGAAGCACCGGCUAACUACGUG